UAAUAAUAAUAAUCCUUUCUUCCAUAGGCACAAUGCUUGAAUUCUUGAGGGAUGGGCCAGUCCCGAUUAUAUCGACUCCAGUGCGUAACUGGUACUUAAUUAAUC